rnacentral:misc_RNA from 1 species
GAACGCACCUUGCGCCCUUUGGCUAUUCCGAAGGGCACACCCGUUUGAGUGUCGUGAAAUCAUCAAAAACCUUUCUCUUUGAUCAUCUUUGGUCGGGAGAGGGAUGUUUUUGGACUUGGAGGAUCCAUGCUUGCUUUCACUGUUGAAAGUGAGCUCCUCUCAAAUGAAUUAGUGGGGUCUGCUUUGCUGGUCCUUGACGUGAUAAGAUGUUUCUACGUUUUGGAUUUAGCACUGUCCCUUAGAUGCCUGCUCCUAACUGUCUCACGGACAACGAUGGUGCUCUGGUCACCGCCAUCUACAUUGGUGGAGGAGGCUGGACCCACAAAAGAAAAAACCUUGACCUCAAAUCGGGUGAGACUACCCGCUGAACUUAAG